ensembl:lncRNA
CAGGAUCACUCUCUUUAUAGGUUUUAGUGGACUCCUAGUACUGCGACGUGGUUUCAUGGUACAAAGGGAUUGUAUUCCAAGAUCUGGGAGACUGUAGAAAUGAGCAGUGAUGCCCUUCCUACCAUCUUUCCAGAAAAGUGAUCUGGAAGCUGUUAGGCUGACUUACAGCAGCAGCACUUUCUGCACCUGCAUAAACUCCAGGACACAUUUACUAACGGUGUUUGUUGCUGUAUGUGCAGCUUUGAAUUUUUUAAUAAUAUAUAUUUUGUUAAUAUUUCGGCUAUGGUGUCUUGUUAUGAAAUGUACAAGAGUAAAAGUGUUUUUAGCAGGUGCUUCCAAGCUAAGUUUGACUGGGAAACUCAAAGCUCAAUAGUCUGUAUCAACAGAGAUUCACUGCAGCCUGUGUAAUAUUUAUUCUACUCUAUCUUGCAAAUACAUAUUUGUGUGGCAAUGUCAUGCACAACACACAACUAUUAGAUCCUUAAGAUCAAACCCGUGUCAUUGUUUUGGUCCACUGCAGUGCAGUAGUCAAAAAACAGAAUAAGUGAAGACACGACAAAUUUAGUGGUUAAAAGGGUCGACUUGGGACAUGUUUUUGUUGAUUGUUUAAGACAAAUGACUACUGAAUGAUAGGAAAUUCCUUUUUAGGUUUCUAAACAGGAUCUUAAGAAUUUUAACACGUACCUGUGUUGUCCUGUCAACUUGAGGGGUUAUGAGUUGAUUAUAUGGAGAAAAAAAAAAAAAAAAAAAAAAACAAAAACAAAAAAGGGGGGAGACGAGAUCUCGUUGUUUCUCCCCUCUCGGGAUAACACAGCCAACACAGCACAGCCAACACAACAUCAUUUUCCUGUUCGCCUGUUUUGUUUUGUUUUUGUUUUUUCUGAGAGCCGAAGCUGACCUGGACUCCUACCCUCCCCUCUACCAUCGUUGCCCUCUCCGCGACCAUCUUUGACCCUUUGACCCCUGAAGGCCACAGCAGCUGGACUCACAACAACAACUUGAGGAUGUCAACAGUGCUGCAAAAGAGUGAUCUCAUGCAGCAGAGACGGAGAGCACUA